rnacentral:rRNA from 1 species
UUAUGGCUCAGGAUGAACGCUAGCGGCAGGCUUAACACAUGCAAGUCGAGGGGCAACGCGAGUAGCAAUACUUGGCGGCGACCGGCGCAAGGGUGCGUAACGCGUGAGCAACAUGCCCGUAUCAGGGGGAUAAUCCAGGGAAACUUGGUCUAAUACCCCAUAGUAAUUUUGUAAGGCAUCUUAUAAGAUUUAAAGCUUUGGUGGAUACGGAUUGGCUCGCGUGACAUUAGCUGGAUGGUAAGGUAACGGCUUACCAUGGCUAUGAUGUCUAGGGGUUCUGAGAGGAAGGUCCCCCACACUGGAACUGAGACACGGUCCAGACUCCUACGGGAGGCAGCAGUGAGGAAUAUUGGACAAUGGAUGGAAAUCUGAUCCAGCCAUGCCGCGUGAAGGAAGAAGGUCCUAUGGAUUGUAAACUUCUUUUGUAUGGGAGCAAUAAGGCCUACGAGUAGGUUGAUGAGAGUACCAUACGAAUAAGCACCGGCUAACUCCGUGCCAGCCGCUGC